UAAUACGAGGGGUCCUAGCGUUGUCCGGAUUUACUGGGCGUAAAGGGUACGUAGGCGUUUUAAAAAGUCAUGUGUUAAAUACUUUAGCUUAACUAAAGAAGUGCACAUAAAACUAUUAAAAUAGAGUUUGAGAGAGGAACGCAGAAUUCAUGGUGGAGCGGUGACAUGCGUAGAUAUCAUGAGGAAAGCCAAAUGCGAAGGCAGCCUUCUGGCUCAAAACUGACGCUGAGGUACGAAAGCGUGGGGAGCGAACAGGAUUAGAUACCCUGGUAGUCCACGCCGUAAACGAUGAGUACUUGGUGCUGGGGGAUUUCGACCCUUUCAGUGCCGUAGCUAACGCGAUAAGUACUCCGCCUGGGGACUACGAUCGCAAGAUUG
rnacentral:rRNA from 1 species